rnacentral:rRNA from 1 species
UACGAAGGGGGCUAGCGUUGCUCGGAAUCACUGGGCGUAAAGCGCACGUAGGCGGGUUGUUAAGUCGGGGGUGAAAUCCUGGAGCUCAACUCCAGAACUGCCUUCGAUACUGGCGACCUUGAGUCCGGGAGAGGUGAGUGGAACUCCGAGUGUAGAGGUGAAAUUCGUAGAUAUUCGGAAGAACACCAGUGGCGAAGGCGGCUCACUGGCCCGGUACUGACGCUGAGGUGCGAAAGGCGUGGGGAGUAAACAGG